rnacentral:lncRNA from 1 species
UAAAUAGUCAAGGUCAUACUAAGGGCAAUAUGGUAGAGGAAGCUAGAUUAUCUGAGAAGUUGGUGGACUCUCCUUCACUAGGGGUCCAGCAAAGCUCCGCUGGAAGUUCAUGUGCAACAACCCAGAAUAGUCAACUUCCUAAAUGCACGGUCUAAAGGCAGAGCAUGAUGUGGCACACAAGCCACCUUCCUGAUCACUAGUUCCACAGUUUCUGGUUCUGAUGACCCAUGGAACCAGAAAUUUAAGAACAGAUGGCCCUGAUUAGCCUCUGGUGGUGAAUGCCAUUCCUCCAUCUUUUCUGCCAGUGUUUGGAGUGGGGAGAAUCUGAGUGUCUCCUCCUCUGGCCAGAACAAUGCUGUGCUACCACCAUCUCCUCCUACUCCAGUGGAGAAAAGUAUGCAGAUGUCACUGCCAUGGUACAAUGCGUUCUGGCUAGGAGGUAGCAAGUCCUUUUCAUUUCAGCCCAGGGGAGAACUUGGUCCACCCGUGAAACUCACAUCCAGCACAAUUGAGUUACUAAAGUCAAGGGCUUUUUCACUCUUUCCUGUAUCUUCUUCAAAUAUAUUUUCAGGUCAAUUCAGCCCAGAAGAAUGGUUUCAUCAAAGAAAGACGUACUGUGGACACACUUUGCUAUGCAAGCUCUCCUGGGACUCUUCUGCAUCCCUAUGCUCUUCAUUACAGCUAGCUCUGUGGACUGCGACAUUUGUGUCGCCACUGCAACCACCUGUACUGGCGUUAAAAUGAAUUGCUCUGAAGAGGAGGGCAUUUGUAGCACAAUCUGGAGUGCGGUCACAAUUGGCGGAGUCAGUCACGACACCAUUACCAGGACCUGCACCGUCAAACGUGUCUGCAAAGCUCUCCAAGCAGUAAUAGGCAAAACUUUUGGAGAUACCACUAUCACCAACGUUAAAUGUUCUAAGGACCCUACAUCUCUAGCUUCUUAUAUCAUGACUCUUUCCGGGCUCCUGCUAGCAAACGUCCUUGCCACCCUGCAGCAAAACAGCAUUCCUGAUCUCUUUAAUACAAACUCUUCUGGAGCUAGCCACAUGACCCCGAGAGUUUUGCCAUCAUCUUCCAGUUCUUGAACCAAGAGAAAUGAGCAACAAGAAAUGGUUUUCAGCCUUGGUUAGAUGGAUAAAGCAAGGCAUAUUUUCCAUGUAGUUGGCUAGAUUCCCAGCCAGGACACUGUGAGUAGCUUGAAUUUAAUGUCUGGCAAAGUUUCAUGAACAUCUCAGCUCCUUGAAGGAAAAAUAGGAAUAAAAGCAUCAUGAAUGAUCA